rnacentral:lncRNA from 1 species
ACUCAGUCCUGCCUCAAAGAAGGGAGGAAGGAUGUCACCUUGUCCUGGGCAAGUUAUUGGGCAAGACCAGGCAGCUCCAGUGCUAAUUUAAUGCUGGGAAGAGAGUCGGGGAACCUGCAGCUCUGGCCAGCUUUCCCCCAAGGAAUCCCAGCCCUACCAGCCUCCUCCCUGUCUCUGGCACAUACCAGUUCACAGCCAGAUCAGUAGAGCAGAGGUGUACAAUGGGGAGGCUCUGGCCUGAGAAGAGGAAGCCCCUGAGAGCAUUCAAAGGGUCAAGAGAGGACUAAGGCAAGACCU